AUUUAAAUAGUGUAAGAAACACUUAACAUUUUCAUUGUUAUAAUUCCUAUGGAUUUAAAUA
rnacentral:tRNA from 1 species